AUGGUGGAUAUACGCACAGCUGUACGUUCAGAGUCCUUAAAUAAAAGCUCCGAUUAUGAACCUGUGAUUACAUUAAUAAACAAGAAGCACCAGCCCAAUGAGACCCAGUGUAAAAAUAGCCAGAAUAUCACUAGACACGAUUCAGGUUUAGAUGACACUUCAGAUGAUGAACCCUUGACAAAGUUGGAGAGACUUCCCAGACCUAAAAAAGCCACUGUACAAGCAAAGGGGCAAGGGACUACUUAUAUCAAAAGAGGAACAGGUAAUGGCAUCCAGAAGACAAAGAACAAGAUCGCAGGUUCAACCCAGGAUGAGGACUCCUAUGACAGCUCAGACAAUGAACCCUUGAUAAAGAUGGUUAAACAGACAUCGUUGCCAUUCAAAAAGAGACCCUUCAACACAGCCAGAGAGGUUAACGAUGUGAAGAGCAGAAAUAACGUCCAGAACACUCAAAACAUAUGCACAGACUCAUCAGGUGACAGCUCCGAUAAUGUGCCACUGAUCAAGAUGGUAGACAAGCUGAAGACACAAACCCGAACAAAGACACUCCCUACAACAGCCAGAGAAACACCCAGUAAAGUUCUUAAAAACCACAACAGGAGGAUAGUUGAGAACACACAGCAUCUCUUGUCUCUAUACUUUCACUAUGGCAUAAUAUGUCUGACAGUUGUAUCAUUGAUUCUAAUCCAAUAG
rnacentral:lncRNA from 13 species